rnacentral:rRNA from 1 species
CCCUUAGAUGUUCUGGGCCGCACGCGUGCUACACUGAGUGGAUCAGCGGGUCAGGUUGCGCGAAAGUGUUUCCUAAUCUUGAAAUCCGCUCGUGAUGGGGAUUGACGGUUGCAAUUUUCCGUCAUGAACGAGGAAUACCUUGUAAGCGCGGGUCAUCAUCCCGCGCUGAAUACGUCCCUGCCCUUUGUACACACCGCCCGUCGCUCCUACCGAUUGAGUGGUCCGGUGAGGCUUUGGGAUCUGAGCAAAGAGAGCGUUUCGCUCGUUUUGCCCGGAAAACUCAGUCGAACCUUAUCAUUUAGAGGAAGGAGGAGUCGUAACA